GGUCUUAUGGUGUAACGGUAGCAUUCCUCUGCUUCAGCGGAGGGAGUCUGCGUUCGAUUCGCAGUGAGAGCA